AGAGUUUGAUCAUGGCUCAGAACGAACGCUGGCGGCGCGUCUUAAGCAUGCAAGUCGAAUGGCAAGUGGUGCUUGCACCACCUAGAAUGGCGGACUGGUGAGUAACACGUGGGUGACAUACCCUCUGGAUGGGGACAGCUAUUAGAAAUAGUAGGUAAUACCGAAUAAGCUUACACAAGUUAGAGAGGUGAAAGGAAAGGUGCGAAUGCACCGCCAGAGGAAUGGCUCGCGGCCCAUUAGCUAGUUGGUAAGGUAAAGGCUUACCAAGGCAAUGAUGGGUAUCCGGCCUAAGAGGGUAAACGGACACAUUGGGACUGAGAUACGGCCCAGACUCCUACGGGAGGCAGCAGCUAAGAAUAUUCCGCAAUGGACGAAAGUCUGACGGAGCGACGCCGCGUGGAUGAUGAAUGCCGAAAGGUUGUAAAAUCCUUUUGAACUGGAAGAAUAAGCAUUGGAGGAAAUGCCGAUGUGGUGACGGUACAGUUUGAAUAAGAGGCGGCUAAUUACGUGCCAGCAGCCGCGGUAACACGUAAGCCUCGAGCGUUGUUCGGAAUUAUUGGGCGUAAAGGGCAUGUAGGCGGAAAUCUAAGCUUGAUGUGAAAGGCAGAAGCUCAACUUCUGAACUGCAUUUGAGAACUGGAUAACUAGAGUUACUGAAGUGGAAUCAGAAUUCCAGGUGUAGGGGUGAAAUCUGUAGAUAUCUGGAAGAAUACCAAUGGCGAAGGCAGGUUUCAGGCAGAUAACUGACGCUGAGGUGCGAAGGUGCGGGGAGCAAACAGGAUUAGAUACCCUGGUAGUCCGCACAGUCAACGAUGUACACUGGAUGUCUGGGAAAGAUCCUGGGUGUCGAAGCAAACGCGAUAAGUGUACCGCCUGGGGAGUAUGCCCGCAAGGGUGAAACUCAAAGGAAUUGACGGGGGCCCGCACAAGCGGUGGAGCAUGUGGUUUAAUUCGAUGGUACGCGAGGAACCUUACCUGGGUUUGACAUACAAAGUAAUGAUUAGAGAUAAGUCAGUGUAGCAAUACAACUUUGAACAGGUGCUGCAUGGCUGUCGUCAGCUCGUGCCGUGAGGUGUUGGGUUAAGUCCCGCAACGAGCGCAACCCCUACUGCCGGUUACUAACAGGUAAAGCUGAGGACUCAGGCGGAACUGCCGGUGAUAAACCGGAGGAAGGUGGGGAUGACGUCAAGUCAUCAUGGCCCUUAUGUCCAGGGCUACACACGUGCUACAAUGGUUGAAACAGAGUGAAGCGAAGCUGAGAAGUGGAGCAAAACGCAGAAAAGCAAUCGUAGUUCGGAUUGGAGUCUGAAACUCGACUCCAUGAAGUUGGAAUCGCUAGUAAUCGCACAUCAGCACGGUGCGGUGAAUACGUUCCCGGGCCUUGUACACACCGCCCGUCACACCAUCCGAGUAGAGGGUACCCGAAGCCGGUAGUUUAACCGCAAGGAGAACGCUGUCGAAGGUACGCUUUGUAAGGGGGGUGAAGUCGUAACAAGGUAACC
rnacentral:rRNA from 1 species